GUUCUCUGUCCGUACCCAGACUCCAGCAUGGCACCCCACCCUUGACUUUCCGGCCCAGCCCUUCCAGCUGGCCCUGCGGCCGUCAUCCCACGGGCCCAUUUUCUGGUUGUGAUUGACUCUUGGAGGGAGCUGAUAUACUCGCAGGACUGGGGCCCAACGGGCUGGUCCCUUCAUUCUUUCCAUCACUGGACUUUCGCCCAGGCCCCGGGAAGCAGGCCCUCUACUGUCCUCUGGGGCCACCGAGAUGACCAAGCCUCCGACCACGUGGUACCAUGUCUUAGACAGACAGCCCUAGGGCCGCUUCAGAAGAGCAGGGAAAGCAGAGGUGGAAAACCUCCCAGUGUCCUCUCA